GACGAACGCUGGCGGCGUGCUUAACACAUGCAAGUCGAACGCUGAAGCUUGGUGCUUGCACUGGGUGGAUGAGUGGCGAACGGGUGAGUAAUAAGUGAGUAACCUGCCCUUGACUCUGGGAUAAGCCUGGGAAACUGGGUCUAAUACUGGAUACGACAUGUCACCGCAUGGUGGUGUGAGGAAAGGGUUUUACUGGUUUUGGAUGGGCUCACGGCCUAUCAGCUUGUUGGUGGGGUAAUGGCUCACCAAGGCGACGACGGGUAGCCGGCCUGAGAGGGUGACCGGCCACACUGGGACUGAGACACGGCCCAGACUCCUACGGGAGGCAGCAGUGGGGAAUAUUGCACAAUGGGCGGAAGCCUGAUGCAGCGACGCCGCGUGAGGGAUGACGGCCUUCGGGUUGUAAACCUCUUUCAGCACGGAAGAAGCGAAAGUGACGGUACGUGCAGAAGAAGCGCCGGCUAACUACGUG
rnacentral:rRNA from 1 species